rnacentral:lncRNA from 1 species
GGUCCCGCUCCCGCAUCCCCCCCUGGCUCCGGCUGCCCUUUCUCUCUCGCUGGCUGCCCGUGUCGGAGCAUGGAUGAUGCUCCCGAGAGCAAAAAUAGCCAAUUUUUGGGUGCGUCAGGGCUAAAAAUACCACGGAUCAGCUCGGGAAGGGUAUUUUCAACAGCGGCUUCCACACACGCCACAGGUACCAAGCACGCUGCUCGACGGGAUACGGCUCAACCAAGAGCGUGCUUCAGAGGCAAAAAUCCCCAAAUCCCCGAGCCCUUAUUCCUGCAGUGCAUGAAGCCCUCCUGGGUCCUCCGAGGAACCCCACUUCCUCCGGGGGCUCCCUCGGGUGUUAUUGCCACUCUGUCCGACGGGGGGGGUUCCACGUGGGAUAUCAGCGAGCACAAAAAUCACAUUUUUCCUCCCCAUAUGUCCCCGCCAGUCUCCUCACCCCAUGGCAAACAGCACCGAGAUGUUCACCCAGACCCCAUAAGUGCAGCACCAGCCAGCAGCCGAGCAUCCCCUUUGGGAUGUUCUGGAUGCACGAGCCUACCUAGCGAGGGGUUUUCUGUCCCCACCUCUGUCCCCAUCACUCGAUGCCGGGCAUCCCAAGGAGGGCACGGGCUGCAGGUGAGCAGAGAGGCUCAUAUGGGGCAGACCCAGUCAGCCCCGUGCACGCUCACUGCACCCCACACCCUCGUGCUCUGCCCUCAGACCCCACGGGAUCCUUCUGUGGCAAUGCAAGACCCAGGGAAUAAUUCUUCCCGAGGGACAGAGCUGUCCCCAAAGCCCUCACCCUGCCCUUUUCCCUCCCCCAGAUCAGCAGUCCUACAACCAAAUGGGAAGCCAAAACCCACAAAACUGCGACCUGGUGCCACCCCCGUGGUCCCACCAGCUCUGCACACCCACACACCGAUGGGUGCUGCGGCUUUCCAAGGGGGCAGCCCUCAGCUUCGCCCCAAAACAAGGAUGCUCACCGCUUUAUUUCACACCCCCUUCUCCUCUCUGCACCUGAUUUAUUUCUUUUUACGAGUUGCACUCUUCAAGCCAAAGCUUCCCCCGCAAGCAGCAGGUUUCAGGCAGAAUUUUGGACCGAUCCCCACGGCCCCUUCCCCAUCCCCAACCCGAUCUGUCCCUGCCUGACCCCGCUUCCCGAGGCCAGCAGGACCCACGGAUGCCCAGCACGGGAUCAUUUUUCCCCGUAGGACCAUCA